rnacentral:rRNA from 1 species
CCUACGGGAGGCAGCAGUGAGGAAUAUUGGUCAAUGGGCGCGAGCCUGAUCCAGCCAAGUAGCGUGAAGGAUGACUGCCCUACGGGUUGUAAACUUCUUUUAUAAAGGAAUAAAGUGAGGCACGUGUGCCUUUAUGUAUGUACUUUAUGAAUAAGGAUGGGCUAACUCCGUGCCAGCAGCCGCGGUAAUACGGAGGAUCCGAGCGUUAUCCGGCUUUAUUGGGUUUACAGGGAGCGUAGAUGGGUUGUUAAGUCAGUUGUGAAAGUUUGCGGCUCAACCGUAAAAUUGCAAUUGAUACUGGCAGUCUUGAGUACAGUUGAGGUAGGCGGGAUUCAUGGUGUAGCGGUGAAAUGCUUAGAUAUCACGAAGAACUCCGAUUGCGAAGGCAGCUUACUAAACUGCCACUGACAUUGAUGCUCGAAAGUGUGGGUAUCAAACAGGAUUAGAUACCCCAGUAGUC